UGCAAGCCAUGGUCAAUAUUUGUUGUUCUGGGGUUAGUCAGUUGUGUUUAAUGAAGCAGACAGUGCCCCAAGAUAAAUAGCUGCUUACUGGAAAGAGUUUUCCCUGCUUCUUCCCAGAGACACCUCUGAACGUUCUGUAAGUAUCAAGUGUGCCUUUCCCGAUGCUGCUACAGUAGAGGGUGGCUUGGAGGGUACCAUGGGGGUGGUCUGUGUGCCAAUGGAGAUGUCAGGAAAGGGGAGAAGAGGAGCAGGUAUGAAAAAGGAGAUGAUAGUGAAAAAUGGGUUGAAAAGGAGGCUGCAGAAUAGAAGCAGCUUUAAAAAUGGGGAGAUGCAAAGGGUGGUUGGAAAUAGCAUCAGGCACGUACUGAAGUCAUGUAGGUGGUACAUGACUUCCGUCAGACUAGCCAAAAUAUACAAACUAAAAUCAAAUUUGUGUUGGAGAUGUCAAGAGGUGGAGGGAACGAUGUAUCAUGUAUGGUGGGGAUGUGGGGAAAUAAAAAAAUUAUGGAGCAGCAUUCACAAAGAACUAAAAAAGAUGUUUAGAACAUCAUUUGAGAAAAAGCCAGAAGUGUUUCUACUAGGCUUAGUCUCAAAAGACAUCCCCGGUGAUAAGAAAAAUGUGUUUUUAUGUGCCACAGCUGCUGCUAGACUACCAUUAGCCAAAAACUGGAAAGGGGCACUGCUCCCUCAGUAGCGGAGUGGCAAAACAAGCUUUGUGAAUUUAUAGAACUGGCUAAAAUGACAGCAGCUACUAGAUUCCAAUCAAAUCAAAAAUUAAAGAAAGAAUGGGAAUGUGUGGAAGAAUACAUGACAAAACAUUGCUUCAAAACAAAUUUAUUGAUAUGCAUUGACUGAAGUUCGUAAAGUUAAGGUUAAAAGAAGAAAAGUGACUAAUGGGGAAUAUGUAAAUAAUUUUCCUUAACACAAUAUUAUAGUAAUGAAUAAUAUUGAAAGCUGAGCAUGGAUGGAGCGAAGUCACAAUGGUAUAAAUCAGAAAAACGAAUAGACAGUAAUAUAUAUGUUGAUAGUAUGUAUUGUAAAGAAUGAUAAAAGGUGUAACUGAAUGUAACAAUGC